rnacentral:tRNA from 1 species
GCGUCCUUAGCUCAGCGGCAGAGCACCUCGUUUACACCGAGGGGGUCGUAGGUUCAAAUCCUACAGGACGCA